UAAAAACCUUAUUCUGAAUGUGCUCAAUUAGCACGUAUUAUUUAAUACGUGUAUAUGAAGAGAAAUUUAUAAAUUGAAGUCUUGAAGACCAUAAUAGCAAGAGAAAGUUGGAGGCAUUUAAUGAUUGUUUUCUGCAUUGAAGGUGCAAAGAAAUUGGAAUGGUACCUUUUUAAUUUAUUGUGCAGAAACUUUUGAAGAUUUUGUCAUCCAAAAUAAUAUUUAUAUUGGUCAUCUGAAGUUGUUAAUGCUGUUUUACUGCUUAACAAAACCCCACCUGAUAUUAAUUGUUAACACUUAAUCAGUGAAUCAUGUUUGAUACUGAAUGUAUAGUUUUCAAAACGUAUAUUGAAAUUGACUGUUACUACUUUGCACAGACUGUUAAAUAUUUUCUAAUUAUUUUAAAUUGGACAAUAGCUUGUGUAUCUAUUGUGUCUCCCUAGAGAUGAAAGCACUGCAACAUUCAACAAAGCACAUUAUGUCCCAUAUUCACUAUCUGCUCUAUAUUUUUACGAACACAGUUUACAGCAUUCCACCUCAGCUGUCUAUACAAAAGCAAAUUGCACUUAUUGUUUUCAAGAUGUGUGUAUUUCUUUGGAUGGAGCAUGCAUAUUUUGUUAUAAUUUAAUGUUGUUAUUAACCAGAAGUAAAGUUGAUGGAGGUGAUUGUUUUUGCUGCUACAGAGACAGCAGAGACACCCACUUAUCAGAGGGUCAGAAGCCACUGGAGGAACACUGCCUGAGAUAUCCUUUAAUUUGAAUUGUGGAAGUUGGUUGUUAAAUAACUUGCUCUAUGGGUGUCCAAAGAGCAAGGUUUAUGUUUAUGAAAGGUACACUGAUGCAGUGUAGAAAUGUAAAUUGCUUACUUUCUUAGCAAGGUUUUUUAAACAUGGAUUUGAAUUCAAAAUCAUAAAACAGUAUGUAGCAAGUUCCGUGAGUAUCACGUUUAACACAGGUAUAAAUACACAGGAGAGAUUUGGGAAGAUGGGCGAGACAAACACAAAGACAGGUGGAGACAAGCACAAAGACAGGUGAAACAGAUCAGGGCGUGACAGUAUCCCCCCCCCCCCUAGGGACACCACCUGGCGUCCUACCUGGGCGCAUACCAGGUUGAGAUGGGGCCUGGGUCCAGGAUGUCCCUAGCGGAGACCCAGCACCUCUCCUACUGGAAUCCCCUGCCCCAAGGUCGAACCGAACAGCAGAGGGGCUAAUGAUCUUGGAGUGGGGGAGAGAGGUCUCGGCUUCUGGGGGUGUAGCCGUGGGGCUAUAGCGGCGUGCCAGUGCAUCUGGCUUGACCUUCUUGGAUACCGGUUGGUGCCUGGGUCUUACUGAACCCCUCCCGGAGGUCCUGGUACAACGCGGGGCUGGCGGAGAGGUCCGGGGCACUUCCCAAGCCCCCAGGAAGAUGUCCUGGGACAGGCAGAGCUGACUUCAGGCAAUGCGUGUGGCAGGAUGGGCUCCAGCCCAUGAUGGCACCAGUAGCUCAGUCAAUAGAGGGAUUGUGAUGCUGGAGCCAAGAGAAUCCCAAUACCACGGGAACCUGCGGAGACUCAACUAGCAGGAAUUUGAUCAUCUCGCUGUGGUUCCCUGACACUCGUAGGUUGAUCGGGGUGGUAUGGUGGGUGACCCGGCCUAUUGAGCACCCGUCCAGCACUCUAACAUCCAUGGGAAUGGAGAGGGGUUGAGUGGGGAUGCCCAGCUCAGAUGCCAGGGUAACAUCCAUUAGACUCGCAGUCAAUGAGUACCUGGACAGGCUUGGACUAGUCGUCCCACAGCAGGGUAGCAUGGAGAGGGGGGUGAGUAAGGGGAGAAGAAAAAUGAUAUUUAAGACCCACCAGAGUACUCACGCCAACGAAUGAGCUAGGUCUCUUGAAAGGACAGGUAGACGCAUAAUGACCGUAGUACAGACAACUCUGGGUGUCAAGUCUGUGUAUGCGUUCGGUUGGAGACAGCCUAGCCCUGCCAAGCUGGACUAACUUCCGGGCAGCCUCUCUCCUGGACAACGAAGCUUCAAAAACUUUUUUCACCACCACGAUCCCUCCAGACUGAAGCAUACGGCCGAAUGUUGUUCCCAAACGUCCGUAACCCAAGCGAGAGCCCUCCCAGACAUCAGCGUGAUGAGGUACGCUAUCUUAGAGCGGUCUGAGGGGAAGAGGAAGGCUGCAGCUCCGUGACGAGGGAACACUGAGCGAGAAAUGCCCGACAGGUGCCGACUCUCCAUCGAAGCGCUCCGGGGGAGGUAAGCGGGGUUCCCAGGAAACCGAGGGGAUGGUCCUGCUACCAGGGCUACUGAUGGCUGGGAUGUUACUGUAGGCUGCCUAGUAGACAACCCACAGAAUUGCUCCCGCAAUGUGUCCAAUGCUUGGUCGUGACGUUCGGCCACGGCCUGGAACCCUUCCAUCGGACCACAAAGCAACUCCUUGUGCCUUCAAAUGAUGGCUUCUUGGGAGGCGAGGGCGUUGCGGAUCUGGUCCGAGUCUGCUGGGUCAGUCAUGGCCAGUUCGUGCUAUCACAUUUAAGUUGAAACCGGGAUUCAUACUUGAAGAGCAUACUUCUCCAGCGUGCCAGUGGCCAUCGAAGUUUCAUCAGCUGUCCGAGUGGCUGGUCUCAGACGAUCCUGGAGGUGAUGAAGUCCGUUGUGGAGGUCCUGGGCUGGUGUGGUUACAUGUGGUCUGCGGUUUUGAGGCCGGUUGGACGUACUGCCAAAUUCCUUAAAACGUUGGAGGGGCCCUAUGGUAAAGAAAUUAACAUUCAAUUCACUGGCAACAGCUCUGGUGGACAUUCCUGCAGUCAGCAUGCCAAUUGCACGCUCCCUCAAAACUUGAGACAUCUGUAGCAUUGUGUUGUGUGACAAAACUGCACAUUUUAGAGUGGCCCAGCAUAAGGUGCACCUGUGUAAUGAUCAUGCUGUUUAAUCACCUUCUUGAUAUGCCACACCUGUCAGGUGGAUGAAUUAUACUGGCAAAGGAGAAAUUCUCACUAAGAGGGAUGUAAACACAUUUGUGCACAACAUUCAAGAUAAAUAAGAUUUUUGUGCGUAUGGAACAUUUCUGCGAUCUUUUAUUUCAGCUUAUGAAACAUGGGACCAACACUUUACGUGUUGCGUUUAUAUUUUUGUUCAGUGUAUUAUGUAGGCCUACCUGUUUGAGCUCCUGUUAGACAGAUUCAAUUUAAUUUCUCAAGAGGAGGCUGUACAGUCUUUCCCUCUACCUGUGUCUGUUCAGAUAGGACAUGUUUUAAGCAUGAUACAGAGGCUAUUUCUUUUGGGCAAUUCUUGCGUAUAUUUGCUAAAGCUACUUGUAUUUUUCAUACGAUAUUGUGCUUUCACCACUGGAUAACCAAGAUCUAUAAAUAAAUGUACACUCUGAGCACGUCAUCUUGCCUUGCCUUCUGCUGAUUUCAUGGCCUUAUGACUGAUACAAGGUCCCUAUUUUACAUUUACACAAAAUAAUGAAAAGGGCUGUCUGGUAGACUCAAUAAAUCGCCAAAAUAAUGAAAAGGGCUGUCUGGUAGACUCAAUAAAUCGCCAAAAUAAUGAAAAGGGCUGUCUAGUAGACUCAAUAAAU
ensembl:lncRNA